AAGGUCCACUCAUGAGAGCACCCAUUGAAAAUGAAUGGUAACGAUUCGUAACGCAAAUAUGGCGUCUGCCCACACAUAUCCCGCCUUUCCGGUUCCACGAGCCAAUUGCCUACUGAGCUGCGCUGUCACUGAUCCAAUCAUCUGGCCACAUCGACGCACGCGUGAUCAAAGGAUUUUACGACUGUUCAAAUCUAUCUGCUAAACAACGGUCGGUUGACGACGUUCAUCGACAGCUGAUAAUCAUGUGUUCUGCGUCUAGAACUAAGGCAACGGUCCUGAAUCCUGAUGUUCAUCCUAAGGACGAAAAGGACUGUUGAGCCGUCAGGCAGGCAGUUCGUGCCACUUCCCUCAGCAUCAACCAGGCCUGCGACACACGCACUUUUGAGAGCUGAGGCAAAUUCCCGGGCUGUCGGGUGAAAACGAUGCCCCCCUUUCCCUCUGAUUACUGAGAAAAGGUUCUGCAAAGGAGGUCAGUCUUCCUCGGUGGCCACAAAGCUGACUUUAAACCCAUGAAGAAACCAUCAUCACUGCACUCAAGUACUAUAACUGUCUGUUAUGGCAUAAGUGAAGAGAGAAGAGGGAACCCAGAGAGAAUGUGCUGGGGGAUGUGGUGACGGGUGACAGCAGUUAGAGGGCCCUCGGCGACAGGACAUAGGAACCAGAGGGCCCCUAGGCCAUGUGGUACAGCAACCAGAUGAGUCACCAGCAGUGUUGGGUGACCACAAAGAUGACCUGACAAUCUAUGAAGAACUCCUGAUGACUGCACUCAAGUACCAUAAUUGUGGUGGAUCCUCCUGCUGAAGGAGAACGGGGACGGCACCUGGAGCCAGGCGUUUCCUUUGGCCCUUUAAGAGAGAACCACAAGUUGUGCCUUCACAUAUAAAACUGUAAAAAAGUUGCAUUGUUGUUGAGAUGCUUGAAAGUUGUGUUUAUGUGUGUCAUUGGGUGCACAGGUGCAGCAUUAACAAGUAUACAUACUUUGCAAAUGAGGUAUUUCGGACUGAAAUGGUCCUCGCAGACCACAUAUCCUCCUUUUUUUCCCUCCUCAGCUGUCAUUUUUACUCGGAGGUCUGCCCUUCUUGCGUGGUAGAGCCACUUUUCACGCCUGUAAAGAUUACAGUUCCAAUAAAGUCUCACUGUUUUAUA